AAAUAGAUAGAAAAAUAAUACAUAUAAUAAUUUAUAUAAUUAAUAAUAAUAUAAUAGAAUAUAUAAUCCAAUAAUAUAUAAAUUUUAAAAAUUUAAUGAAAGUUAGAAUAAGAUAAAUAUGUUAAAAAUAGGAAAAUUUAGUGCCAGCAUCAGCGGUUAGACUAAGUUUGUAAGUUAAUUUUAAUCUAUAUAUAAUAAAAAAGAUUAAUAAAAAAAGUUUUUUUUUUUAGUAAAUUUAAUGGUGAAAUAUAAUUUAUAAUAAUAAAAAUUUUUUAUUGUUUUUAUAUUAAGAAAUUUAUUUAAAAGACUAGGAUUAGAUACCCUAUUAUGGUAAAUUUACAAUAGUGAUAUAAGAGAUUAAAUGAUAAAUCAUUAAAUUUAAAAGAUUUGGCGGUAUUUAAAAUUUAGAGGAACUUGUGUAGUAAUUGAUAAUCCACGAUAAGAUUUACUUAAUAUAAAGUUUAUGUAUUGCUGUUUCCAAUAUUUAAUUAAUUUAGGUUUAUUUAAUUUAUUAUUUAUUAAAAAAUUCAAGUCAAAAUAUAGUUUUAUUAAGAUUUAAUAUGAGUUACAAUUAAUUAAAUUAAAAAGUGGAGUAAAAAAUUUAAUUUUUUUAUGAAAAUGGAUUUAAUAGUAAAAUUAAUAAAUUUAUUAAUUUGAAUAAAAAAUUUAAGUAUGUACAAAUUGCCCGUCACUUUCAAUAAAAUGGAAUAAGUCGUAACAAAGUUUAGGUAUCGGAAGAUGUUUAUUGUUUUAU
rnacentral:ncRNA from 1 species